GCACCGGUCGUGCAUGGUGCACCCUCCGUUUCAUGUAAAGGUAAGGCAUCAAGCAAUAACUGGGUGAGGCGGGGUUCGAUUCCCCGCCGGUGCA